CUAACGUUAGCGGCGGACGGGUGAGUAACACGUGGAUAACCUACCUAUAAGACUGGGAUAACUUCGGGAAACCGGAGCUAAUACCGGAUAAUAUAUUGAACCGCAUGGUUCAAUAGUGAAAGACGGUUUUGCUGUCACUUAUAGAUGGAUCCGCGCCGCAUUAGCUAGUUGGUAAGGUAACGGCUUACCAAGGCAACGAUGCGUAGCCGACCUGAGAGGGUGAUCGGCCACACUGGAACUGAGACACGGUCCAGACUCCUACGGGAGGCAGCAGUAGGGAAUCUUCCGCAAUGGGCGAAAGCCUGACGGAGCAACGCCGCGUGAGUGAUGAAGGUCUUCGGAUCGUAAAACUCUGUUAUUAGGGAAGAACAAAUGUGUAAGUAACUAUGCACGUCUUGACGGUACCUAAUCAGAAAGCCACGGCUAACUACGUGCCAGCAGCCGCGGUAAUACGUAGGUGGCAAGCGUUAUCCGGAAUUAUUGGGCGUAAAGCGCGCGUAGGCGGUUUUUUAAGCCUGAUGUGAAAGCUCACGGCUCAACCGUGGAGGGUCAUUGGAAACUGGAAAACUUGAGUGCAGAAGAGGAAAGUGGAAUUCCAUGUGUAGCGGUGAAAUGCGCAGAGAUAUGGAGGCAACACCGGUGGCGAAGGCGACUUGUGCUGGUCUGUAACUGACGCUGAUGUGCGUAAAGCGUGGGGAUCAAACAGGAUUAGAUACCCUGGGUAGUCCACGCCGUAAAUCGAUGAGUGCUAAGUGUUAGGGGUUUCCGCUCCUUAGUGCUUCUAUCUAACGCAUUAAGCACUCC
rnacentral:rRNA from 1 species